rnacentral:rRNA from 1 species
GAUGAACGCUGGCGGCGUGCUUAACACAUGCAAGUCGAGCGGAAAGGCCCAAGCUUGCUUGGGUACUCGAGUGGCGAACGGGUGAGUAACACGUGGGUGAUCUGCCCUGCACUUCGGGAUAAGCCUGGGUAACUGGGUCUAAUACCGGAUAGGACGAUGGUUUGGAUGCCAUUGUGGACAGUUUUUUCGGUGUGGGAUGAGCUCGCGGCCUAUCAGCUUGUUGGUGGUGUAAUGGCCUACCAAGGCGUCGACGGGUAGCCGGCCUGAGAGGGUGUACGGACACAUUGGGACUGAGAUACGGGCCAGACUCCGACGGGGGGGAGAAGUGGGGAAUAUUGGACAAUGGGAGAAAGCCUGAGGGAGCGACGCCGCGGGGGGGAUGACGGCCUUUGGGUUGUAAACUCCUCUCGCUGGGGACGAAGCGUUUUUGUGACGGUACCUGGAGAAGAAGCACCGGCUAACUACGUG